GACGAGCGCUGGCGGCGUGCUUAACACAUGCAAGUCGAACGGAAAGGCCCUGCUUUUGUGGGGUGCUCGAGUGGCGAACGGGUGAGUAACACGUGAGUAACCUGCCCUUGACUUUGGGAUAACUUCAGGAAACUGGGGCUAAUACCGGAUAGGAGCUCCUGCUGCAUGGUGGGGGUUGGAAAGUUUCGGCGGUUGGGGAUGGACUCGCGGCUUAUCAGCUUGUUGGUGGGGUAGUGGCUUACCAAGGCUUUGACGGGUAGCCGGCCUGAGAGGGUGACCGGCCACAUUGGGACUGCGAUACGGCCCAGACUCCUACGGGAGGCAGCAGUGGGGAAUAUUGCACAAUGGGCGGAAGCCUGAUGCAGCAACGCCGCGUGCGGGAUGCCGGCCUUCGGGUUGUAAACCGCUUUCGCCUGUGACGAAGCGUGAGUGACGGUAGUGGGUAAAGAAGCACCGGCUAACUACGUG
rnacentral:rRNA from 1 species